rnacentral:snRNA from 1 species
UGCACCGGAUCCCAUCAGA